GCGAUGGCCGCGCUAUGGUAGUGCAGUGGGCGCGAGAGGAGAAGUGGAAAGGAGUGGGAGGGCUGUGACCUGUUGUGAACCUUAUGGACGCCGUUGCCAUACAUUUCGGCUGGUGUCGCUGAAAGGGCAGAGGGCAGCACAAGACGGUGAUUUUUAUUUUAGGGGGCUGCCUCAAUUAUCGACGGUAUUUCAUUUCAUGCUGCAAUAAUAUCUUGACUUUUUUUCCAAGACUAAUUGAAUUGUAAAUAUUAAUUGUAAAAUUUAACUUUAUUGUGAAAAUGAACUUUUACAUAUGGCUGGUAAUUGUGUUCUUCAAUACACGGCUGUUAAUCCCAGUCCAUUAGUGAAUGAAAAAUAUUAAACUUUAUAAUCAUGUAAAAAAGACAAAAAAUGGUAAAUAAUUGUUCUAUAAAUUCCAGUACCCUCACCAUCCUUUAAGAGAAACAUCUCCAUUUCACAAUGAACUGAAUAUUAACAGAAUAUCAAACAAGAACACUUGAGUUUUUUCUUAAUGAUACUCCUUACCGUUAUACAGACAGAAAAAAUUAUUUGAGUAACGAAUAUGAUGCUUAAGCUAUGAAAAUCAAUGUUCUAUACAAUUCUUGUUCUGUUUUGUUUUGUUGGUAAAAUUUCGUAAAUUUUAUGAUUGGAAAAUUUUCUUUUAAAUCCCAAUUGGGGAGAAUGUGGACAAAAAAUGAAAUAAUCGAGUGAAAAAAAGGAAAACAAAGUAAACUGUGAAUAAAAAUGGCCUGUUUUAUCCAUUAAAUUUAUCUUUCCGUCUUCAUUUUCAUAGUUAACUCGAUCUUUCUAAAUUGGCAAUGACAAAAAUAGACUUU